UGAACGCUGGCGGCAUGCCUUACACAUGCAAGUCGACCGGUAACAGGUUAAGCUGACGAGUGGCGAACGGGUGAGUAAUACAUCGGAACGUGCCCAGUAGUGGGGGAUAGCCCGGCGAAAGCCGGAUUAAUACCGCAUACGACCUAAGGGUGAAAGGGGGGGAUCGCAAGACCUCUCGCUAUUGGAGCGGCCGAUGUCAGAUUAGCUAGUUGGUGGGGUAAAAGCUCACCAAGGCGACGAUCUGUAGCUGGUCUGAGAGGACGACCAGCCACACUGGGACUGAGACACGGCCCAGACUCCUACGGGAGGCAGCAGUGGGGAAUUUUGGACAAUGGGCGCAAGCCUGAUCCAGCCAUGCCGCGUGCGGGAAGAAGGCCUUCGGGUUGUAAACCGCUUUUGUCAGGGAAGAAAUCCUUUGGGUUAAUACCUCGGGGGGAUGACGGUACCUGAAGAAUAAGCACCGGCUAACUACGUG
rnacentral:rRNA from 1 species